GACGAACGCUGGCGGCGUGCUUAACACAUGCAAGUCGAGCGGUAAGGGCCCUUUCGGGGGUACACGAGCGGCGAACGGGUGAGUAACACGUGGGUGACCUGCCCUCAGCUCUGGGAUAAGCCUGGGAAACCGGGUCUAAUACCGGAUAUGACUCCAUGACGCAUGUUGUGGGGUGGAAAGCCUUGUGCGGCUGAGGAUGGGCCCGCGGCCUAUCAGCUUGUUGGUGGGGGAUGGCCUACCAAGGCGACGACGGGUAGCCGGCCUGAGAGGGCGACCGGCCACACUGGGACUGAGACACGGCCCAGACUCCUACGGGAGGCAGCAGUGGGGAAUCUUGCGCAAUGGGCGAAAGCCUGACGCAGCGACGCCGCGUGAGGGAUGACGGCCU
rnacentral:rRNA from 1 species